rnacentral:rRNA from 1 species
CUUCAACGGAGAGUUUGAUCCUGGCUCAGGACGAACGCUGGCGGCGUGCUUAACACAUGCAAGUCGAGCGGUAAGGCCCUUCGGGGUACA